rnacentral:rRNA from 1 species
UACGAAGGGGGGCUAGCGUUGCUCGGAAUCACUGGGCGUAAAGCGCACGUAGGCGGAUUGCUAAGUCAGGGGUGAAAUCCUGGAGCUCAACUCCAGAACUGCCUUUGAUACUGGCGACCUUGAGUCCGGGAGAGGUGAGUGGAACUGCGAGUGUAGAGGUGAAAUUCGUAGAUAUUCGCAAGAACACCAGUGGCGAAGGCGGCUCACUGGCCCGGU